rnacentral:misc_RNA from 1 species
GAAAUGCGAUAAGUAAUGUGAAUUGCAGAAUUCAGUGAAUCAUCGAAUCUUUGAACGCACAUUGCGCCCGCCAGUAUUCUGGCGGGCAUGCCUGUUCGAGCGUCAUUUCAACCUUCAAGCCCUGCUUGUGUUGGGGUCCUGCGGCUGCCCGCAGGCCCUGAAAACCAGUGGCGGGCUCGCUAGUCACACCGAGCGCAGUAGCACAUCUCGCUCAGGGCGUGCGGCGGGUUCUUGCCGUUAAACACCCCCCCCCUUUCCACAGGUUGACCUCGGAUCAGGUAGGAAUACCCGCUGAACUUAA